GCGGGCGUGGCGGAAUUGGUAGACGCGCUGGAUUUAGGUUCCAGUGACUUCGGUCGUAUGGGUUCAAGUCCCUUCGCCCGCACCA
rnacentral:tRNA from 26 species